rnacentral:lncRNA from 1 species
CAACAACUCUGCUAUUCAGACAAAUCCCUUUUCAAGAGCUCUUAGAGCUGUUUGCAGCUUUUCAGACAGGCCUUCAUGACAAUUCCCAGCCUGGAGAACUGCUCAUGGAGAAGGGAAGACACAGAGGAUCCUGCAAACGCUUCCUGUGAAUGAGAACGUCCUGCUGAGCAGCAGCCGGAUCCAGCGCCCACAGAAGGCAGUGGAAGAGCUCCGACUGAUGACAGUGGAUGUUGGAUGAAUUCC